rnacentral:rRNA from 1 species
GUAUAGGCCGCCGAAAAUACUGGGCAGCUAGGGAGUGGGAGAGGUACACGGUACUCAAUAGGAAGGGGUAAAAUCCUUUGAUCUAUUGAUGACCACCUGUGGCGAAGGCGGUGUACCAGAACACGUUCGACGGUGAGGGAUGAAAGCUGGGGGAGCAAACCGGAUUAGAUACCCGGGUAGUCCCAGCUGUAAACGAUGCAGACUCGGUGAUGCAUUGGCUUGUGGCCAAUGCAGUGCCGCAGGGAAGCCGUUAAGUCUGCCGCCUGGGAAGUACGUACGCAAGUAUGAAACUUAAAGGAAUUGGCGGGGGAGCACCACAAGGGGUGAAGCCUGCGGUUCAAUUGGAGUCAACGCCAGAAAUCUUACCUGGGGCGACAGCAGAAUGAAGGUCAAGCUGAAGACUUUACCAGACAAGCUGAGAGGUGGUGCAUGGCCGUCGCCAGCUCGUGCCGUGAGAUGUCCUGUUAAGUCAGGUAACGAGCGAGACCCCUGCGUCUAGUUGCUACCAUUACUCUCUGGAGUAGUGGAGCGAAUUAGACGGACCGCCACAGUUAAUGUGGAGGAAGGAAGGGGCCACGGCAGGUCAGUAUGCCCCGAAACCCUAGGGCUACACGCGGGCUGCAAUGGUAUUGACAAUGUGUUCCGAAUCCGAAAGGAGGAGGCAAUCAUCAAACGAUACCUCAGUUAUGACUGAGGGCUGUAACUCGCCCUCACGAAUAUGGAAUCCCUAGUAACUGCGCGUCACUACCGCGCGGUGAAUACGUCCCUGCUCCUUGCACACACCGCCCGUCGUUUCAUCGAAGUUGGCCUUUAGUGAGGUAGUGUCUUGUUGGCAUUAUCGAGCUUGAGGUCAGUGACGAGGGAAAAGUCGUAACAAGGUA